rnacentral:rRNA from 1 species
AUUGAACGCUGGCGGCAGGCCUAACACAUGCAAGUCGAACGAGUGGCGGACGGGUGAGUAAUGUCUGGGAAACUGCCCGAUGGAGGGGGAUAACUACAGGAAACGGUAGCUAAUACCGCAUACCAUCGGAUGUGCCCAGAUGGGAUUAGCUAGUAGGGGGGGUAACGGCUCACCUAGGCGACGAGGCCUAGCGUGUCUGAGGGGAGGACCAGCCACACUGGAACGGAGACACGGUCCAGACUCCUACGGGAGGCAGCAGAGGGGAAUAGGGGACAAUGGGCGCAAGCAUGAUGCAGCCAUGCAGCGUGUAUGAAGAAGGCCUUCGGGUUGUAAAGUACUUUCAGCGAGGAGGCGUUACUCGCAGAAGAAGCACCGGCUAACUCCGUGCCAGCCGCCGCGGUAAUUC